rnacentral:rRNA from 1 species
CGACGGGAGCUUGCUCCCUUAGGUCAGCGGCGGACGGGUGAGUAACACGUGGGUAACCUGCCUGUAAGACUGGGAUAACUCCGGGAAACCGGGGCUAAUACCGGAUGCUUGAUUGAACCGCAUGGUUCAAUCAUAAAAGGUGGCUUUUAGCUACCACUUACAGAUGGACCCGCGGCGCAUUAGCUAGUUGGUGAGGUAACGGCUCACCAAGGCGACGAUGCGUAGCCGACCUGAGAGGGUGAUCGGCCACACUGGGACUGAGACACGGCCCAGACUCCUACGGGAGGCAGCAGUAGGGAAUCUUCCGCAAUGGACGAAAGUCUGACGGAGCAACGCCGCGUGAGUGAUGAAGGUUUUCGGAUCGUAAAACUCUGUUGUUAGGGAAGAACAAGUACCGUUCGAAUAGGGCGGUACCUUGACGGUACCUAACCAGAAAGCCACGGCUAACUACGUGCCAGCAGCCGCGGUAAUACGUAGGUGGCAAGCGUUGUCCGGAAUUAUUGGGCGUAAAGCGCGCGCAGGCGGUUUCUUAAGUCUGAUGUGAAAGCCCCCGGCUCAACCGGGGAGGGUCAUUGGAAACUGGGGAACUUGAGUGCAGAAGAGGAGAGUGGAAUUCCACGUGUAGCGGUGAAUGCGUAGAGAUGUGGAGGAACACCAGUGGCGAAGGCGACUCUCUGGU